ensembl:lncRNA
CUCAAUCCCCUCCCCACACUCCACCCACCUCCGUGUGCCCCUGCCUGGGGGGAGAGACACAAACUUGCACAGCCCGCCUCAGGACACCAAAAGCAUGAAGUGACCGCACCGGACAAGUUUCUGAGUGGAGGUGUGCCCGCUCAGCCAAGAUGACACUCUGCGGGACCUUCCUGGGCUCCGACACUCGCUCUUGAAGGACACCCUACACUCCACUCCAGGCCGGGCCUUCAGGGACCCCAUUUGUCUGGGACCGUAGGUUUAUGGGAUGUGGGGCAGGACAGACCCAGCAGGACUCACAGCCUCAGGACCAGAAUCUUCUGCUGCUGCCAGCUGCCUGCGUGAUGCUGAGAAUCAUCUUUAUUCAUUUAUUUUCAUUGCUAGGG